UGCUCUGGUGGCCAAGUGGUUAGAGCGUCCGCCUCAGAUGCGGGUUGUCGUGGGUUCUAUCCUCGGUCGAGUCA